CGGACGGGUGAGUAACACGUGGAUAACCUACCUAUAAGACUGGGAUAACUUCGGGAAACCGGAGCUAAUACCGGAUAAUAUAUUGAACCGCAUGGUUCAAUAGUGAAAGACGGUUUUGCUGUCACUUAUAGAUGGAUCCGCGCUGCAUUAGCUAGUUGGUAAGGUAACGGCUUACCAAGGCAACGAUGCGUAGCCGACCUGAGAGGGUGAUCGGCCACACUGGAACUGAGACACGGUCCAGACUCCUACGGGAGGCAGCAGCC
rnacentral:rRNA from 1 species